rnacentral:lncRNA from 1 species
GAUUUUUAAAGCCUACUAUCAAUACGAUCAAUGAUUUAUUAAAUGUUAGAUCUGCAAGUUCACAUGAUGAAUAAGUACUUUUUACAUGAGUAUCUCAUAGGGUUUAAGCUGGAAGAAAGGUACGUGAAUUAUUUGCUCCAAACUUGGGUGAUGCACUGCCGCGGAAAGUUGGUCACUGCAAUCACAAUAAGACAACAGAACAUGUUAAAUUCUUAAUACAAAUUUCCAGCAAGUGGCCGGUAUUUAUCUCGUUUUGGUCGACUGUGCGCGUUUCAAUAUCUUGGAGAUGGUGGGUAGUAAGAGUAUAACACUACACUAUGUUGAAUUAUAUUUUCGGUUUGGAUUGUGACGUAAACCUUGCUAACAGCGUUGGAAUGUGAAUUAAAUCGUCAAUUUUUAUAAAAAAUCUAGGUCACAAAAAAAAUAAAAAUAAAUAAAUAAUCUCUUUAUUUCAAUAUAGAGUUUACAACCAUGUCAAGAGGUUUCAGCAGGUGGCGAAGUGUUUACCACCCUAUACAGUUAGUCACUUGACUUGCAAAUCUGGUUCAAAUUAUAUAUGUUAUCACUUAUCAAUUUGACAAUAUGUUUCAACAGAAAAAAAAACUUGAUUAAACAUGCAAUCUAAACACUAUUGAAAAUUUAUAAAAUGAGAGGACAAAUCAUUAUAAACUAUAACAUAUCUAGAACACUCAAAACUCGAAUUAGCUAAGUUUAAUUAACUGAAUCAAAUGCAAGUUAAUCUUUCCGAAGCAGAACAAGAAUUUCGCAAUUUCAAAGCUUCCAAGUAUAUGGUUAAUGUAUAUAAAACAUCUGCAUGUACAUGUUAACCAUACAAUAUAAUUGAAAUGUAUGGAGAGCUAAUUUUAGCAUUGCAGAAGGUACUUGUAGGUGAAUGAAGUAGAUUAUUUGGAUGUAGUUUUCAUACGAUGAACAAUUAAAUAUUGUUGACAUGACACAUGACUAGUAUCUCAUAGGGUUUAUGCUGGAAGCUAAAGAUAGAUGGAUCAGUUGAUCAACACAAAAGGUAUGAGAGAUGGCAAAAAUGUAUCAGUAGAUUAUUAAAUAUGUCACUGAUGUGUAUAGGGAUGCGCACACCAUAUUCAGACUACAAGAAUAACCUCUUUCAUGCCCUUGACACAUUUCAACCGUGACUGCUCAGCACCAUCCAGAAUGGUCACCCUCUUGUUCAACUAACCAAGGUUUCCUAAAGCUAAAGUAAUUGUACAAUCAACUCACGUCGUCUCAUCAUUUCUCGACUUGUGCAUUUUAUUCAUGUGCAGGGACUGUGUUGACCCCCCUUAACGGGCCCAAGCCCAAGUCAAUUACAAGUCAAAGCCCAAUAUUAUAAUCAAUAAGAGUCUAAGCCCAAUUCAAUUAGUAAUAAGCCCGUUACUACAUUCAAUAUCGAUCAUAGGCUUUAUCAAUAUCAAUCAUGGGCUUUAUCUAUUUAAGUCUAUUAUAUUCAAUAAGGUUAAUAUGGUAAUUCUAUAUCCUUGUAGAGAUUUUCUUAACCUAAUCCAACUACAACUCCAAUAUCUCUACAACUCCUAAUCCAACUACAACUCAAAUAUCUCUACAACUCCUAAUUCAAUAACAAUUUCAAUAUCUUUACAACUCAUGCUCUUAAUAGGACAUGAGGUACAUUAUCUUGUCAUUAUAUGGUCCAAAUACAUGGGACUACAAAUACUACAAUACAUUAGGGAUCGUUGGAUCACAUCCUAAUCUAAAAGGCUUGAUUUCAUCUCUCUUAUGGAUACGUAGGCAACUAAGAAACAACUUAAUGCAGCCAUUAUCAAUCACCAAAACCCUAUUCCUUCAUCUUCAUCUUCUCCAAUAAACUUAGAUCUUAACAUUAGGGGUUUCUUUUUGAUCUUACAUCACAUUUGUGUGAAAUCCGGUUGAAAUACUUUGGCGUCGACUGAGGUUUUCUUUCCCCCUACAAAAAACCUACUUUUCAAGAGGAAUCAAGUUCUUUUUUCUCAAUGACAACAACUAGAUCUCAACAAAACAAACAGGCAAGUAAUGGUGGACGUCAAGAAGGUUCAAAACAUGUGCAGGCUCGCUCUCAAGGUUCUAACCCUAGAGAGCAUACCGUCACUUCCAAGAGGGUUUCAUCUAAUGGUGAAAAACACUCGUUUUCUUCUUCUUCUUCUUCUUCUCAACCAUCAAAGUCCAAGGAGCCUACUCAACAGGAAGAAGUCAUGGUUUCUGAAAACGAGUAUCUACGCCACAAAUUCAAAAGGCUUCAGAAUAGAAACAAUGGUCUAAGGAGGAAGUUGAAACAUGCCCAGGCGAGUUCCCUGGCCAGCGGCUACCCCCUCAGCCUGCCUGUCCGACUCCUCUUCCCCCAACAGUAGCAGCUAACUCUCCCCUCCUGCCUAUUCCUCCUUCUCCAGCGGCUACCCCUCAGCCAACCCCCCAGCAGCAGCAGCUAGCUCUCUUCCUCCAGCAGCUGUGCUGCUGCCUCCUUGGUCCUCCUCUCCACCAGCAGCAACUAACUCUCCCCUCCUGCCUAUUCCUCCUUCUCCACCGGCUACCCCCUCAGCCUGCGUGUCCGACUCCUCCUCCCCAGCAACCAACCCCCCAGCAGGAGCAACUAACUCUCCCCUCCUGCCUAUUCUUUUUCCUCCAGCGGUUGUCUCUCCCACUAAAAAUCUGUCAGACUUGUUCCCAACUUGCCUAGCAGAUAGUUGUUCGCCCAGACCAGUAGCUAACUCCUCCUCCAGCCUUGUGGACACCUCCCCUCCAGCGGCAACACAGUCAUCCAUCCCUGAGCCAAAGCCCCCCAGCAGACAGCUGCUUGCCCAAAGUCAUACCCUGGCCAGCGGCUAUGUCCUGGCCAGCGGCUGUGUCUUGGCCAGCGUCUAGCCUAUUCCCUCCUCCAGCAGCAACCUCCUCACCCCCUAACAUGUCUGACUCCUCCAGCCUGGUGCACACCUUCUCUCCAGCAGCUACCUCUCUCUCCCUUCCUACCUCCUCUCUAGCGGUUGUUCCACCCCCAGCAGCUGUAGUGCCAGCAACAACAACAAUGUCUGUUGGUCGGUUACUUCGCAUGAUUCCUUGGCCAGCAGUUAUGUUGUUGCCAAGCCAUUUCUCAAGCGCAAUUGGUUCCAAGCUUUUCUCCUUGUCAGACCUGAGGUCCAGGCCAUGUUUUUAGCCAGCGGCUAUACCCUCAAAACUCCCCUGGCCAGCGCCUAAGCCAGCAGCUGUGACCCCCACUUCACCACCUAUCGUUUCCCUACACUACCUUACGUCUCCAAGCCCCUGCCUAGCGGCUAUGGGCCUGGUGGUGCAUUUUCCCUGCCCCUGUAUUGGCACAUCUUGUCCCCAGACCAGCAGCAAUGACCUUACCAGGUUGUACUGGCUGCUUGUCAGUUCUUCUACCAGCAGCAGUGGACCCCACAGACUCCGAAGUGCCUCGGGACGUACGUGCAUUUGUAUCGUUAUCGCGUCGAGGCACUCACUGUCCAUACAUACUCUCUUCUUCGAACUCGCACCCGUUUCCAUGAUCAUCGUCAUUCUCAACAUCCGUUUCGUCGUCACUUGUCAUCACGAAUUUCCUUCGUAGUCGAAUUUUUUUCCGCAUUUCUUGUUCUUCUCCUUCACUUUCCCUCUUUCCUUCACUCAUUUUUCUUUUUUCCGCUAGUAUUCCCUCUACAUUUUCUCAUACUCGUAUGGGUACUUCUUCUUCGAUUUCUUCUUCACUCCUUACAAGCUUUUUGAUUCUUUCAAACCGAAACGUUUCGUCAACAAUUUUUUCAUAUCUUCGUAUAUCAUAGACACGGAUAUCGCUCAAUCUCCGAAAGUAGAAAUCAAGAUUUGCUUCCGCCUCUUCACUCUUGGGUAGCGCCGGUACUUUAUAUACGUCACCUAUAACAUUCAACACCAAUUUUCGUCAUGAUUAUUUCAAAUUUUAUGUUGGUUAUAUAAAAAUGCAAAUCAACAAAAAAAUUAUACGAAUAUUUCUUCAUUCAUGACACGACUUACCUCUAGGCGUGUUCCUUACAACGAACUCCGUCUGAUUCCAUUAGAAUAUAUCUAUGGCGUUUGCCCAGUUUCAUUGAUGUUGGCAUGCCAACGAAGCGCCUCAUUUGAUCUCGAAAUUCCAACUUCAUUCAUCCUUCAUACCUACAAUUCUAAUCAAUAUCGGACUACUUCAGUAAACCCGAAUCUCCUUCCGUAUGCUUCUUCCAACUUCUUCGCCCUCGCCAUUAGUAACCAAAACGCUAAAGGGAAUUGAGCGGGUGAGGCAUCAUAGUAAGCUAGUAGUUUUGUUACUUCUCGAUCAAGCGGUACUUGAAAACCAACUUCUAGCAUUGGAUAGGUAUCUUGAAUCAUGUUCGGGCCGAGUUUUACAUUCCCCCCAUCGUUCAUUACUUCAAAACCUUGAAGUUUGAACUUCACCCUAAUUUCGCUUUUGGUUAGUAUUUGGCAUUCCUUGCUAUGACGGUAUGCUCAUCGUUUCGCCCAUCGAUAUUGCUUGGCCUCUUUGACCGGUAACGGACCUCUUUUCCUUUGUAUUUCUAUCUCCUUCUUACUCCUCUCCUCCUUCUCAUUAUUACUCUUUGUGUUCGAUAUCUUCUUGGGCAUUUUGUCUCUUUCUUAAAAACAUACAUCAAACAUCAUCAUGUUAGUCAUCUAACAUAUAUAUAUUCCCUUUUUAUAGCUACUUGAACACAAAUGUCAAAGUUUUUACUCCUAUACUCUUCAUAUUCUACUUUCUAUCAUCUCUUGGGAAUUUCGUCAAACACUUGUUAGCAACUUCUAAUGUAGCCUUUUUUAUAGUUUUUUCAUGCUUGUACAUUACACAUACUUCUUUACUUACCUAUUACCAACAUUUUCUUAGUUCAAAGUCAUUACCCAUACUCCCAUCAUCAUGCAUUUCUAUUUCCCAACAAAUUCAACAUUACCCACUCACAUAGUUUCUCCAUGUUUUUCUACAAUAGUUAUGUUUCACUUACUUUUGAUUGAAGCUUUGUCUUCCUUUUCCACUUAGUAAGUUCACUUUGGUGUUAUUCUCUUCUUUGACUUCUCUUCUUUCUUUUCCUUCUUUCUCUUUGAAUUCAACACUUCUCUCCCAUAGCUUUGUGUUUACACUUCCUUCUUGUUUCUCUAUUUUUU